rnacentral:rRNA from 1 species
AACGAACGCUGGCGGCAUGCCUAACACAUGCAAGUCGAACGAGACCUUCGGGUCUAGUGGCGCACGGGUGCGUAACGCGUGGGAACCUGCCCUUAGGUUCGGAAUAACUCCCCGAAAGGGGUGCUAAUACCGGAUAACGUAUUCGGACCAAAGAUUUAUCGCCCGUGGAUGGGCCCGCGUUGGAUUAGCUAGUUGGUAGGGUAAAAGCCUACCAAGGCGACGCUCCAUAGCUGGUCUGAGAGGAUGAUCAGCCACACUGGGACGGGGACACGGCCCGGACUCCUACGGGAGGCAGCAGUGGGGAAUAUUGGACAAUGGGCGGAAGCAGGAUCCAGCAAUGCCGCGUAAGUGAUGAAGGCCGUAAGGUAGUAAAGCUCUUUUACACGGGAUGAUAAUGACAGUACCGGGAGAAUAAGCUCCGGCUAACUCCGUG